GUUCACCCAGGUAACAGGUGCGCCUUGUCUUAAUGAAGACCGACUUGUUUGCCCAGAGCUGCCUGUAGAGGUGGGAGGAGGUGGGGGAGAAGGGAGGUUGGCCGCUCGGCUCGGGACCGGAUGCCCCCUAAUUAGAGGAGCUUGCUUUGUCCCCUCCAUGACCCUCCCCAGGGCUCAACAUGCUUCAAGAAGGGGAGCCACACCUCCUGCUAAGCAGCAGCGACAGAUGGAUGCAAGAGAGCACAGAGAUCUCAGGGACUGGCCCAUGGUAGCUCAGUCUGGCUUGAGUCCAGCUGUCCUAUCCAACAGCUCGUCCAUCUCUCCUUCGUCCAGACUUAACUGAUGAAAAUCGCUCACUGUGGAACUGAUCAAAGUUGAAAGGAUGGAGUCCUGGAAUGACCAACCAACAACCAAAACUAUCCAUGACCCAGACCUUUUGCCUAAAGCUCAUCACAGCAGUGCAAACUGGCUAUCGGUUUCCCCUGGGAAAACAAGCUCAGCGAGGCUACAUAACCUGCCCAUCAUCACAGUUUUCUGGAGGCUGAGCUGGAAUCUCAAGCCAGGUCUCGGUGACCCACCAUCCUGUGUUCUGCGUGCCUUCACAUCUCAGGACAGCGAGGCUUCUAGUAAGAGUUAAGGGGAAGACUAAGGACAAGAAUGAGUGGAGACGGCAUCUCAAAAGUGAUCCAGUGCCGAGAGCUGGAAUCUCAGUUAAUUCCAUCCUAUGAUUUAUUAGUUGCAAACAAGGGGUUGGGGAGGACAACACAGUUGUAUUGGUUUUGUGUUGUGAUUUUUUUUUUUAAUCUCUGAGAUGUCCCAAAAUGUUUACCUUGUAAAUUUGUUCAGUGGAGAGGUGGGUAAACACAAGCUUUCGGAAUGUGAUCAGCAUGGCCAGCCUGAACGCCAGGCAGGUUUGCCGGGGUAGAUGUAAGACACUGCAUACAGCAUGUGGGGGCGGCGAGACUCCCUGAGCAGGAAGCGCGACCUCAGCAUGUAGACCGCAGCCCCCACCAAGGCCAGAGAGGACAGGCAUGCGCUGGGCUGCCUACGUGGUCCCUCGGGGUCCACCCCACCCCCCCGGAGGGCAAGGCCAAGCUGUACGCAGCACACCCAUUUCAAGCCUCGCUGCCUGCAGUAAAAUGCUGUCUCCAUGGGUCAGCCUUUCCCAUCUCAACAGCCCAUGUUCCCGCUUGACUACAGAGCUUUAAUCAGGCCUGGCCCCAAUCAGACAUGCAGUCCUAGCAUUUGAAAUGCAUCCUGGGUGACCACAGGAGAAGGUCAAAGACCCUGGGAGGGAGAUGUGGGCUCUGUCUGACAGCUCGAUGGGAACCUGGGAGGUAGUGAGCAUCCCGUCACUGGCAGCAUCCAAGAAGUCAUCAGAUGGUCAUCUGCGUAGCCUAGUGUACCUUCAAAGGACACAGACUCCAGAGUGACACUGGUCUGAGUUGGAAUUCCGGCUCCACUGUUCAUUGGCUUAAGUUCCUCCAGCCUCUGUUUACCCAUCAGAAAUGGGGGUAAAUAAUGGCUUCAAUCAUCUCCUGGGGUGGUUGUGAGCAGAAGGUGCAUGAACAGGGGUAAGCACAGAGCCCAGCAUUUUGUGAAGUGCUCAGGAAGUAACAAUAGCGAUGAGGUAAAAGCAGCAGACAUGCUCAGGUGAGGAGGAGGAGGAAGACAGAGCUCGCAGGGAGGCAUUUAGUAAGGAGGGAUCUCAGGGGGUCCAGCCAGAGCAAAUACCACCUUAUUAGC